rnacentral:rRNA from 1 species
UACGUAGGGGGCGAGCGUUAUCCGGAAUUAUUGGGCGUAAAGGGUGCGUAGGCGGCCAAAUAAGUCAGGUGUGAAAGGCGUCGGCUCAACCGGCGUAAGCACUUGAAACUAUUUGGCUUGAGUACAGGAGAGGAAAGUGGAAUUCCUAGUGUAGCGGUGAAAUGCGUAGAUAUUAGGAGGAACACCAGUGGCGAAGGCGACUUUCUGGACUGAUACUGACGCUGAGGCACGAAAGCGUGGGGAGCGAACAGG